rnacentral:tRNA from 1 species
GCCCAGAUCGUCUAGUUGGUUAGGAUGAUACGUUGUGGUCCUUCUUACAGCGACCGUGUUGACGGCGGUUCGAAUCCGCCUCUGGGCA